rnacentral:rRNA from 1 species
ACGAAGGGGGCUAGCGUUGCUCGGAAUCACUGGGCGUAAAGGGCGCGUAGGCGGACUUUUAAGUCGGGGGUGAAAGCCCAGGGCUCAACCCUGGAAUUGCCUUCGAUACUGGGAGUCUUGAGUUCGGAAGAGGUUGGUGGAACUGCGAGUGUAGAGGUGAAAUUCGUAGAUAUUCGCAAGAACACCGGUGGCGAAGGCGGCCAACUGGUCCGAUACUGACGCUGAGGCGCGAAAGCGUGGGGAGCAAACAGG